rnacentral:rRNA from 1 species
AGGACGAACGCUGGCGGCGUGCCUAAUGCAUGCAAGUCGCACGCAGAGUGCUUGCACUCUGAGUGGCGCACGGCUGAGGAUCACGUGGGAACAUGCCUCCUUGUGGGGGACAACCCCGCGAAAGCGGGCUAAUCCCGCAUACGCUCGGCAACGAGGAAAGCGCAACGCGCAGGGAGAGU